rnacentral:lncRNA from 1 species
AUUUCUCCACCGCACGAUUUCACCGCCGACGAUUUCACGCGCGAAGACUUCGCUCCUCCUCCUCCACCCGCGGCCGCGAAAACAUCGCUUCCCCUCUCUCGCUCAUCCUCCUCCCCGCGUGUAUUGAAGUUGCAUCCUCACCGGAGCUCCUCCCUGCUGCUGCCGCACCGCCGCAUCCUCACCGCCAGAUCCUGCUUCUUCCCCACCGCCGCAGCCAUUCUCCUCGCUCGCUCCUCCUCCUCCCCACGUGUACUGAAGCCGCAUCCUCGCCAGAGCAGCCGCUGCUGCCGCUGCCGGAUACUGCUUCUUCCUCACCGCCACGGCCGGAUCCGACCUCGGCCCCUUCCACCGUCACCGACACCGCCGUGCACUCCACCGCUGGCCGGCACCGAGGUCGGCCCUCUUCCCCAUUUGCCACUUCAUCAUCAUCAGAUCUCCAAUGUUGACCCUAUUAUUCAUGUUAUGUCCUGUCCGAUGCUGAAUCAUGAGGGAUUCUCCAAGAGGACAGGAACCUGUCCUACAGCACCAGGCAGUCAAGUUGUAGAGAUGGUGAAAAGUAUGGAGAAGCUACAGUCAAGUUGCUUGCUGCUACAUUAUGACUAACAGGAUCAAUGGGUGCUUGCUGAUAAAAGAAUGCAUAUAAAUAACAAAUGGUCCAGCCUCCUACAACUGUCACUGUACAGCAUCAAAAAAGGAGAUUAUGAUAUCUGAAAACUUCAAUCGCGAAGUUUGAAAAAUAGAGUGCAUCAAGUUUGCCAUGGAGAUGGCAACUACCAACCCAUGGUCAUGCGGACAUCAAGAAGCGGACAACAAGAAACAUCAUAGGAGCACCUCACCAUCACAUGGCUAUGAGCAAGAGGGGUCUGCUAGAGUAAUCCACUGAACUUUGUUGAACUUGUAAUUUUCAUCUGCAUGCUCUGGUUCUCUAAUUGCUUUGAAUUACUUAUCAUCCUUCAAUAAACAAGCUGUUGUGAAUUCCCAAAACAAAGUUGGAUGCGCUAGACACCAUCUGAAGUUGGUCAAUGGCAACUCGAGAAAUUGUAUAUAUUUGGAACAUUACCUUCCUCAUUAGCUUUUUAUUUCUUCAAUUUCUUCUAGCAAAUACAGGUAUUAUGAACAACAA